UACGGAGGGUGCGAGCGUUGUUCGGAAUUAUUGGGCGUAAAGCGCACGUAGGCGGCGCGUCAAGUCUUACGGUGAAAGGCAGGGGCUCAACCCCUCGCUUGCCGGAGAUACUGGCGUGCUGGAGACAGGGAGAGGCUAGUGGAAUUCCGGGUGUAGCGGUGGAAUGCGUAGAGAUCCGGAAGAACACCGGGGGCGAAGGCGGCUAGCUGGCCCUGGUCUGACGCUGAGGUGCGAAAGCGUGGGGAGCGAACAGG
rnacentral:misc_RNA from 1 species